rnacentral:misc_RNA from 1 species
UCUGGUGAUUUUUUUGGAGGGAAAGGGAACUGUAUUUACUUCACAGAUGAUGAUAAUUUCAAGGGAAAAGGAUUAAGUAGUGAUAGCAUUCGCGUGUUCCGAUUAGAAAAUCAUAUCAUUGAGAAAGUAACAACAUUGCCUGAGUACUCUCAGAUUUUCUGGCCACCCAACUUUGGCUUAACAGGAUCAAAUUCUGCCCCGAAGUUUAAUGUGACCUGUUAAAGAGCUUGUCUGCUGUUAUGGAGGCGUAGGCUGCUGGUCUAACGUGUUUAUUGUUAACAAUGAGUUUCAGCCCUCAUCAUCCACACCUUCCCUUGCAUUCUCUCGCUUGUAAUCAGUGUAUGUACUUUAAGAUUAUAUAAGCAUGUGAUCUAUGAUGUUGAUGAACCAUGAAUUAAGGGAUGUUUACAUACUAUCAUUAUCAUCUAUCUGAAUCUGGGNCAUAACAGCAGACAAGCUCUUUAACAGGUCACAUUAAACUUCGGGGCAGAAUUUGAUCCUG